rnacentral:siRNA from 1 species
AUGGUUUGCCUCUUCACUAGAUA